GGCUGCUCCUCCCUCCUCGACGGUUCAGGUUGCGGCAGGGCCCUUGGCCGAUCUUCUCUACCCUCAAGCCGACGUCGGAUGAACCUGUCAAGUCGACCUCGCCGGAUAAGCUCCUCGAUCUCAUCUCGGAGCUGGAUGCAUUCCUCUGUGUCGUGGCCGUUGUCGCGGUGGUAGAGACAGAACUUGUUGGGGUUGCGCUUCCCGGGGUAUGUGCGCAUCCUCUCUGGCCUAGAGAGCUGCUCCCUGACCUCCAUCAGUACUUGGGUCUUCGAGGCAUUGAGGGGG
rnacentral:lncRNA from 1 species